AGACUUCUACAGGCAGUCUCCCUGAAAGGAUGUGGAAGAUGGAAGAGUCUCCUUUUUACCUGCUUGCCUAUAAGCCAGUGUAAUAAACCCCCUUUUAGCAUAUCUAAAUUCAUUUAUCAGUUCUGUUCCUCUGGAGAACCAUGACUAGUACCCUGACACAAGCAACUUAGAGAAGAAAGAGUUUAUUGAGGCUCAAAUUUCCAGAUACCAGUUCAUCAUCAGAGGAAACCCACAGUGGCAGAAGGUAUUAACAUGACCUCCCAAACAUGACCACAGGCCAACCCACUCUAGACAGUUCCUCAUGGAGACCCUCUUCCCAAACAAUUCUAUACUGUAUCAAGUUCACAAUUAAAACUAACCACCCAAGAAUGAGAACAGCAAGAGGAGAGAGGAGAUGGCAUGAAUGGGAGGGGUGUGAAGAGUGGAGCAUAAACACACUUGUAUGGAAAUGUCAUAACAAAACCCAUUUGUAUGCUAGCUAAAAAUAAUUUUAAAGAGAUAAUCAAGAAAAAACAGAAAGUUGGUUAGUGAUGUAGCUCAGUGAGUAAAAGCACUUUCUACCCAACCCAGAUGACUUGUAUAGCUAAGUUUAAUUCCAUAACCCAACGUAGGAUGAGAAAGCCAGCUCCCAAAAGCUGUCCUCUGACCUCCACAUGUGUGCUGUGGCACAUGUGUGCUGUGGCACACGUGUGCUGUGGCACAUGUGUGCUGUGGCACAUGUGUGCAUGUUUACACACACACACACACACACACACACACACACAUACACUAAACAAAAUACAGACACAAAUGAAGACAUGCAGAGCAACCCCAACAUAAAAAGGAAGAGGAUGGCAUUUGUAAGAGGCUUCUCCCCCUUGCUAUGCAAACUUAAAAGCUAUGAAAUUUCUUAGGGAGAGAAGUUGAAGCCAAAUCAUAACUAAAAACUAAUUCUUUAUUUUUUAUUUUUUAAUAUAAUGUUUUUUACUAAUUCCUCAAUGUUGAGCAUAGUCACACACACAUGCACACACACAUUCUCAUCUUCCCCUUAGCUCCUCCAACCCUCUCUUUUCCACCCAUUCCCACCUUAUUUUCUUAAUGAUCCACCCAAUCUGAUUUGUGUGAUCAAAUAAUCCUAAAUGUGAGGCAAUCCACUGAAGCAUGGUUGACCUACACUCUUAGAGAAAACGGCCUCUCCCUCUCCCAAAUGCCAUGAUCAGUUAGAGGUGCCAGUUCAGCAAGCCUCUUUCCAUGUUAGAAUGUCAACUGGCCUGAUCUUAAACAAGAAAAUAAAGCCACUAUGAGUUAAAGAGUAUAGCAGUCCUGCUAUGCCCAGAAGACAUGGUUUCACUCUACUUUUCCUUCAACCUUCUGCUCUUACAACCUCUCAACCCCUUUCUACAAUGAUCCUGGAGCCUUGGGAAUUGGGGACAGAUGCCUCAUCCCUGGCUGAGCUCUCCACCUACAUUCUCUUCUCUUUACAAGUUGAGAGUUCCUGCAUUAACCGCUGUCUACUGCACAGAGAAACGUCUCUGAUGAGGCCUUGGACCUGAACUAAUCUAAAUUAAAAACUAAUUUAAAAGAGUCAGUGAACUU
rnacentral:lncRNA from 1 species